GAGGGCGUAGCUCAAGCGGUAGAGCGCGUGCUUAGCACGCAUGAGGUCCUGGGUUCGAUCCCCAGUCCCUCCU
rnacentral:tRNA from 1 species